CAGCCGCCACGGGAAUACGAAGGGUGCAAGCGUUACUCGGAAUUACUGGGCGUAAAGCGUGCGUAGGUGGUGGUUUAAGUCCGUUGUGAAAGCCUUGGGCUCAACCUGGGAAUUGCAGUGGAUACUGGAUCACUAGAGUGUGGUAGAGGAUAGUGGAAUUUCCGGUGUAGCAGUGAAAUGCGUAGAGAUCGGAAGGAACAUCUGUGGCGAAGGCGACUAUCUGGGCCAACACUGACACUGAGGCACGAAAGCGUGGGGAGCAAACAGGAUUAGAUACCCGCGUAGUCCCUGUCUCUUAUAC
rnacentral:rRNA from 1 species